rnacentral:lncRNA from 10 species
GUAAGCUGAGCCCUUUGCUUGUUACCAGGGUUGGUGAUGUAGUGCCUACAGCUCAGUGGGAAUGACAGAUGGGGGUCAUGGUGGGAUCACAGUAUUGUCAUGGAAUCCUUGGGGUGUAACUUUGCCAGCCUCUGUGGAAACCUCUGUGGUUGGUGGUACCUUCUGCUGCUGCUGCCUCUGCUCCUGCUACCGGCCCGGAUCCCACGCCUGCCAAUGGUCCUGAGUUCUUGUCCUGUGUCCAGGAAGAUACAUGGAAAACUUGAGGGUGAGCAAGGCAGAGAGGAGUUUCAUUAAGUGACAGAAGAGCUCUCAGGAGACCCCAGCCUUGUCCUCCAGGUAAAGGAUGCUCCUAAAUUCUAGCAGCAACCUCCCAACUGCCUUCUUCUGCUUCCACUUCU